UACCAGCUCUCCGAGUGGUAGGGAUGAUUAUUGGGCUUAAAGCGUCCGUAGCCGGCUUAGCAAGUCUCCUGUUAAAUUCAGCGACCAAAUCGUUGAGCCGCGGGAGAUACUAUUAGGCUAGGAGGCGGGAGAGGUCGACGGUACUUCUGGGGUAGGGGUGAAAUCCUAUAAUCCCGGGAGGACCACCAGUGGCGAAGGCUGUCGACUAGAACGCGCUCGACGGUGAGGGACGAAAGCUGGGGGAGCGAACCGGAUUAGAUACCCGGGUAGUCCCAGCUGUAAACGAUGCGGGCUAGGUGUUGGGGUGGCUACGUGCCACUUCAGUGCCGCAGGGAAGCCAUUAAGCCCGCCGCCUGGGGAGUACGGCCGCAAGGCUGAAACUUAAGGAAUUGGCGGGGGAGCACCACAAGGCGUGAAGCUUGCGGUUC
rnacentral:rRNA from 1 species